UGUGUAAUCUCUAGGCACAUUUGAAACCAGAUGGAACCUUCUUACCACAAUGGUUUAGGACAACGUUCAAAGAAAUGGGAACAUUAAGGUUGAUACCAAGAACAUUAGCCUUUAGGGCAGUGCAAAGACAGACCGCGGCUUCAAGAUCAACUAGACCUUUGAUAAGAGCGCAACAGUUGGACGUUGGUGGUAGAGAAACCUUAACCACAUCCAACACGUUAGCACAUACCUUAAGUUUAAGAGCGUCUUUACAAGUGGGUUUAAGAGAUGGCGUUGCGGGCUUCUUGUGGUAGCUCUUGGGCGGUGGUGGUGGACAAGGGACCGAAGUCGAGCUGACGAAAGUGAAGAAGAUGACAUUGAAGACGAGGAGAAGGGCAACCUUAGAAUAAGCCAUUGAUGAAGAAGUAAAGUUUCAGUUAGAGUAUUUCUUAUAAUAGGUACAAGAAAACCCUAAAAACUCUCUCUUUAUCAAGCUUUUGAUGUGUUGUGUGAAGAAUAUGAAGAUAGUGAUAGGGUUUUUAUAGGUGAAGAGUGAGAUUGGUUUAUGUGUUUUUAAUUACAAAUCGACGAGUGGCAACGAAAUGACAAAAUUUCAAUGUACUGUUCAUGUGAGGGAUUAUUUUUUAAAUAUUAUGUAUUAUGAUGAAUUGGUUGAUCUUACAAACUGUCAAGAUAUUGGAUCGUUGCAUGUAACAUGCAAAAGUCAUUAUGAGUGGUUAUAAAUAUCCCUAAAUAUAAAUAAAUAAGCCUUAUAUCUGGAUGAUAGAGAGCUUUGAACUGAUAUAUCUUCCAAGAAAGCAGUGUUGAAUUAAACCAUAUUCUACCAUAAUAAACUUAGAAUAUUGUGUUACAUUGAGGUUGAUAAAUGUUGAGAGAUCAAUUUUUUUUAUAAGAAAAAUAUUGUUUUUAAAAUUAGUAGCCUUGCUUAUGAAUAUUUUGUGUAUACAUUAUAUAUUUUUUCCUCUUUAUCUAUUAUCGAUCGAAUCAUAACAAUUUUGUGGAAAUAAUUUUAUUGUCUUCCAACAUUUGGUUAGUCAACUGAACAUCACUAUAUUAGAUGUUAUAUUUCCAUGAUUAACAAAACUUACAAAAUAACAGUAAGCACAAAUUAAACAAUUAUGAAUACAAUUCAUCAAAUCUUUGUAUUCAUAAUAGAUAUAGUCAGUCAUAUAAAUGAAAAUAUACUUAUAUACAUAUAUAACCUAGUAUUUGUGUCAAUGUUAUCGUUGCUAGUCAUCAAAUGUGUUCAAAUCCUUAGUGCACAUAUUAUUUACAAAAUAAAUAUACACAGAUAAAUAUAUAUACAUACAUACACAGCAAUAUUAUUUUACAAAAAAAAUAUCUCACAAAUAUAUAUAAACCUCGAUAUAUAAAAUUCAUAUAUUUGUGAAAUAUGAAAUACGGAUUGACCAAUAUUAGAAUAAGCCAUUGAUGAAGAAGUAAAGUUGUAAAGAAUUGUCUUCUAACUUACAGUGAUACAAAAAAAAAGAAUUGUGAUCUGUCUUAUAGAGAUAAAAAAAAAAAACCUAAAAAUCUCUGUUUACUAUCAUUUAUCAAGCUUGUGAUCUGUUGUGUGAAGAAUGGGGAUAUGGGUUUAGGGUAUUUUUGAUGUGUGUUUUUAAAUUACAAAAUGACAACUAAUGAAUGAAAUAAUGUUCAUGUGAUGAUGAAUUAUUAUUAAAGUAGAACGAAAUCUUACAACCAGCUGUCAAGAUUUAUUGAGUUACAUGCAGUGCAACAUGCAAAAAAAAAAUUAAUUGAGUGGACAAAGAUAAUGUUAUAACUUAAUUUAAACUGUAAACAAAUUAAGAACCCAUUUUGGGAUUAAUAGGAGUACUGGAAUUCGAUCUUUGUUAUUUUGUUCCUUUGUGGUUAUGCAAAACCCAUGAUUUGGCCAUUAUAUAACAAUUUUUAUACUAUUAUUAAGGACACUGAAUAAUAUAUGAAGUAAUAUUAGAUAUUAUAUAAUUUAGGAUGUUAUAACAAAAACAAAUACGAAUCAGGGCAAAAAGUUACAAAUCAGGCUAACGGUGAAAAUGUUCAGUGUAAAUCGAUUAAAGACUUGAUUUAUUUAAGCACAACAGAUAGGGUUCCAGAGUUUUGUGAAAACAACAGUUGUAGUUUUAAGCGUUGUUAAAUAAUUUACAUAACUGGUUUAGCGGUUGAAAAUAAUGUCGGUUUGCUUUUAUUUUUUUGGUCCGUACUACAACGAACUCUAAUUUAUGAUCAUUUUUUCGUCUAACGUUUUGUCGGUAGAUGACUCUUCGACAAACCAUAUUAUUUUUUGUGCCAAUAAUAACUUUGACUCCCAAGUUACCAUGGAUCCUUUGUUGAUUUUUUGUAGCUAUCGUUUUGUAGCUGAUGUUUGUACUUCUUUAUGUUAUUUAUGCUAUAUUUUCAGCCAUAUUAUUCUUAUAUUUAUGACUAUUUUGCUCCUUAUUUUGUUUUCAUGAAUAAAACAAGUCUUUGACACAAAAAAUGUAGUAUUUAAAGAAAUUGUUUUCGAAAAUUACAUCAUAUUUGAAGUUACUUGUCCAUCAAACUUUUUUUCUUCUUUACCUUAAGAUCCAUCUUGUUUAGAAAUUUCUCAUUAGUUAUAUUUUGCGCAGUUUCUUUUACAGCCAUUCCGCUCUUUUUUAUACUGAUUUAACUUGAUUUAUUUCAAUUUUGUAAUUUUUUCAAUAAGAAAACUUUAGAGAUUGAACUCCAUCAACCUUAGAUUUCAAGGAAAAACUAACAUUAGUAGUUAAUAAUGAGACUUUCUUGUACAUAUAUUUUGGUUUUUUUCUUUUCUUAAUGCUUUGGCCGUUUAUAAUGAUUUUAUAUAUUAUCGAAAUGGGACGACUUUAUAACACGUUUAGCUUCUCCUUCCCCCCUCUUUAUUUUUAUUUCUCAAAAUAUCACUUCAGCUAUACAUUUCAUGGGAUUUAAAUUAUUUGCUUCCUAAAGAAUUUGCAUAUUUUAAUUUGUUAAUAUCUGCCUAUCUUGGAGACAUCGACAGACUGCCAUAUGGUUCGAAUAAAAACUUAAUCAAAAACAGUCCUAGGUUCGGAUUUAAUUUUAUGUACUUGGUCAAAUUUAAGUUCCAUGGUUUGUUUGAUGGUCUGGUAUAAUGCAUACAAUACAACUUAAAUAUCUUCUAGACAUUAUAGCAUAUCCAAUCCAUUAUUAAGAAGAAGAAAAAAAUAAACUGAGAAUAUUAUUUUUGAACGAUCAACACCUUAUUCCAUUGAUAACAUGUAAACAAACUACAACAAUGGAUAAUGAUAGAAUAGAUUCAAACGAGGAAUGUUAAAACAAGAAACAAAUGAAGUUAUAACAUAAUAUAGAAUCUCUAUUUAAAAUGUGUAAUCUCUAGGCACAUUUCAAACAAAGUUGAUAAGAGAAUAAGCAAAACACUUUUUGAUUUAUUUCAUUGAUGAAGCAUAAAACAAAUUACAACAAUAUAAAGAUAUCAUCAAACGAGGAAUUUUAAAAACAGGAAUGAAAUGUGAGAUAUAGAAAUCUCAAUUUAAAAUGUGUAAUCUCUAGGCACAUUUGAAACCAGAUGGAACCUUCUUACCACAAUGGUUUAGGACAACGUUCAAAGAAAUGGGAACAUUAAGGUUGAUACCAAGAACAUUAGCCUUUAGGGCAGUGCAAAGACAGACCGCGGCUUCAAGAUCAACUAGACCUUUGAUAAGAGCGCAACAGUUGGACGUUGGUGGCAGAGAAACCUUAACCAAAUCCAACACGUUAGCACAUACCUUAAGUUUAAGAGCGUCUUUACAAGUGGGUUUAGGAGAUGGCGUUGCGGGUUUCUUGUGGUGGCUCUUGGGC
rnacentral:lncRNA from 1 species